rnacentral:rRNA from 1 species
UACGGAGGGAGCUAGCGUUGUUCGGAAUUACUGGGCGUAAAGCGCACGUAGGCGGCUUUGUAAGUUAGAGGUGAAAGCCCGGGGCUCAACCCCGGAAUUGCCUUUAAGACUGCAUCGCUUGAAUCCAGGAGAGGUGAGUGGAAUUCCGAGUGUAGAGGUGAAAUUCGUAGAUAUUCGGAAGAACACCAGUGGCGAAGGCGGCUCACUGGACUGGUAUUGACGCUGAGGUGGCGAAAGCGUGGGGAGCAAACAGG